rnacentral:tRNA from 2 species
GCGGGCGUAGUUCAAUGGUAGAGCAUCGGCUUCCCAAGCCGAGGGUUGAGGGUUCGAGCCCCUUCGCCCGCU